GGCGGAUCGCACGCGAGGGCCGCCCGUGGCGUGCCGAGCCGGGCCCUGCCGUGCCGAGCCCGCGCUGCUUGGGAAACGGGGCAGGCACGCAACGGGGCGGGCAGCACCGCCCCGCCGCUCCCUGCACGGCCCCGGGGGGGCUUUGUACCUUCUCAAACACACGUGGAAAGCCUCCCGCUGCCUGCAAAUCCCAACCCGGAGGAGCAAAGUCCACGGCGGCGGGCAGCCAGGGAAAAAGGCUAAUAAACACGAGCACCCUCUGCACAAAGCAGGACCCGGGCACCGAGUGCAAGGGUGAACAGCUCUGCCAGCGCCUGCACCGUCUCCCGGUUAACCCAGCGUCCCGAUUAAAAGCAAAGCGGUAUUUUUAUCCUAGCCCUCUAGUUUCGGGCUGCCCUUUCGUGUGCUCGGUACAAAGAGCAGCGCAGCGAGGCGGUUUCGCAGCGCUGCCUGAGAACCCCCGGGGAAGCUGCUGGGAGUUGUGGCAGGACCGAGCUCGGCCGCUCAGUGCCACCGAGCCGCGGGCACGGGCACCGGGAGCCGUGCCCAGAGCCCGGGAGGAGAGCGGCGGCGGCUGACGGCGAGGAGAGAUGGCAGGAGACGUGCAGGGAGGGGUCAGGGGAAGGACAGGGUUUGCACCGCACGCGGCAGCGAGGUUAUUUCUGGUGCUGCGUGCACAGCGUGUUAGUUCCUGUUUUCAAGACACAUUGUUUGCGAGGUUUGUUUGGUUUGCUCCCCCCCCCCCCCCUCCCCUUUAUCAAUGUCACAAGGACGAGAUCGUCCUGGGAGAGCAGUCUCAGGGAAAGGAUGUCUGGAGGAGGGAUUUGAAGGUGAAGGCUACCUGGGAGCCAGGGUCAGGAGGUGCAAAGCCCUAACAGGACGGAAACUCUCCAAAGCAGCAUGGAAACGAUAAAAUCAGGGGCAGCACAAGGAAGCAGGGUACUGGCAGCGGGGCAGAAAGGCAGAGGUGAUGGUAGGGGACGCAGAAGGUGGCGCGACGCCAGCCCCGGUAGAAGUGAAAUCGGAGCGUGCUAACAACAGGGGGACGUGCAGGGCAGGAGUCAUAAGGGAGGAGAUCCCAGUGCUCCUGCCGUGACAUUGCCAAAUCAAAGCCAAGCUUUUGGCUGCAGGAGCACAUGAGGUGAAUCAGAGGAGGAAUCUGGAUGAUUAAGCAGCAGCUGAGUGCCAGGAGUGAGGAGCUGUCAAGGAUAAUAUCAAUAGUGUGUGCGUAGAGGACAGCGGGUUUAUUUGCCACGAUAGAAAGGGAUUUGAGAGGGAAUACAAGAAGCUCAUACUGACUCCGAGUUGGCAGCAAGAGAGCUUGGGAAGGUUGCCAGGAAAAGCGUCCCAGAUACAAGGCUGAAGUGAGAAAGAAAUAGGGAGCAGAGGCUGUUUCGGCAGUCAGCAGAUUCGGAAGAGGCACGAAAGGCAGGAGGGCAGGGCCAGCCAGCACGACGUGCUCGGGGGAAGCAGCCAAGGAGAAGCCCAAACGCCUGGGAGAUGGUGCCGAGGGGUUCAAGGUCCUGCGCUGUAAGGCAGCCAAGGGCCUGGGCUCAGCAUAUCUGAAAGAUCACCUAAAGCUCUGGGAUGGAUGUGUCUGAUGGCUCCUAAGGCAAAGCAGAGCCUUAUCCAUACGGGUGAGGUUCGUCUCUGCGGGGCUCAGCAGUUUCCCAGGGGCCUGCUAGGAAACUCCCACGGGAACUCAGAAACCCCAUAAAUCUUUCCCCUCCCCCUGUCCACAAGCAGAUCUGCUCUCUCCUAAUUUAAACACACAAUCUGUAGGGAGGGGAACGUUUAUACUGCUGGCUUACAAUAAAAAAAAAAAAAUAGAAAAAAGACUCCAGUGCACACAUAGCCCUCCCCGCUGAAACAAAGAGUGUGAGAAUGGCUGAAACAAGACAGAUGUUCCUCGCAGCCUUGGCGAGCUACUGGAAGAAGCGUGUAUCCUCCUGUGAUGAAGGAGCUACAGUCACCGUGAAACAGGGAAAGAUAAAGAGGAAAAACAAAUGAAGGAAGCCUGGAUGUUUACAGGAACGGGGAUAUCAAGGAGGAUGGCGAGACUGACUUGAAUUUGGGAGCAAGAUUAGGGCCUGCAUACAUCAUUCUGAGAUCCAGCUGGCCAGGAUGAUGUUGCAGUCUCCCAGCCUGCAAUUAAGUGGAUGGGAUUGUUCAUACGAAGGAGGAUUACUGAGGACAGUCAGGGUUUGCAAGCCCUGAAAUCAUGCCAUGAUACCUAUUGCUGAAACAGUCUGGGAGCUUUCCUCAGGCUCCACCCCAUCUCCUGGUGCUACGGGUGCCCUUUUAAAACGCUAAAUAACAGCAAAUCCUCUGCAGUGGGUUAGGCUGCUCCUUCCUCCACUUCACAGGAUUACCUCUUGAUUUGCGAUUGCAGUGUAAUGUCCUGGCACCUCCUGAUAGCAAAAUGCAAAUGUUGCAUUUCCAUGGCAUGGCCCGACAAUUCCAAUUUAUGCACCACAAGGAGAUAAUGUGUGUGUGCUGAUUGCACGCUGUAGCUACAACCUUGUUAACAUACAGCCCUAGCAUUACAGCUUGGGUGAAAAUACGAAACAAUAAGAAUUUUCUUGCUCUGCUUUAGAGCCUGACCCGUUUCCUCUUACAGUCCUUGACUUCAAAUGGGGUAUGGGCAAGACCCCGUCCAAAAGAGGGGCCUGUAAUUUUUUUACUUGAUAUAGGUAACAUUAGUGAAGUGCAAAAAUGUGGCUGCUGUGCACCAGCAGUGGUGCACAAAGAAAAGUGAGCUCAGCAUCGUGGCCUGUGGCCAUCUCAGGUGGCCUGCAUCGCGCUGCGGCUCCGAUGCUGGCUCAGCUGACAGCUCCUGAGAGCUCGCGUAGCUAAAUGAAUUGUGGCAGGCAUCACCGCCACCACGCGAGCUGGCUUGUGGGGGACCUGGGACAGAAAUCAACAGAGCCACGUUCCAGGGUGGGCUCCUACAGGUUCCUUCAGGUCUCCUACAGCACUUAAGAGCGUGGGGAGCUGCUCACACCACAACUCGUCCCAUCGGGUUGGCUCUCAUUUCGGUGAAUUACCUGUCAGCAAGUCGUGAUUUACAUAAUCUGUGUGGUAUUUGCAAUUAGCCCGAGUGGUUAAGGAAGGAAAUUUUUAGGCAAAACAUUUGCCUAAAGUUCUAGCUUGCUUUGUUCCUUUGAAAAAAGCUCUUGAGGGAUUUGGCACGGUGGUCAGCAAAAGGCCCAGAACUGUUGAGAUGUUUUGGGAGCAGGAGUGGAGACUGAAGUAUCUUAUCAGGGGUAUGCACAAAGGAGUGUUUGUAGCUCUGCUGAGAGCGUGUCUGGUGCCAGCCAGGCUUGGGGUGCAGCUUUCACCAGCACCGUGUCCCCUCUGCCAGGCUCCAAGGGACGAUCAGCACGUGGAACGGCUUCAGGUCGGAUUUCUGCCCCGCUUCGCUCCCCGAUAAGGCUCGGGAUAAGUUAAGGUCCGGCUGUUUACCGGAGCCUGGGGCUCACGGUGUAUGUUUUAGCUGCCUAGCAGCUUGUCUCCAGGGAGAGGUGGGAGGUCAGAAGUCCAGGGGCAGCCCAGCGUGGAGGGCUGGCCGUGUCGUGCAGCACUCUGCGAGUACAAAGUGCUGCGAAGGGCUGAAACCAGCUUGUCUCCCUCACCUGACAGCAGUGCGCCCGGGCAGGAGAGCCAACAAAUAAAACUUGACCCAUAAGAGGAAAGAGACGAUUGUGAAAUUGGACAGCAUUUGCCUGUCACUAUGGAGUCACUAAGGGAACAGGCAUAUUUUCUUCCUGUUUACAUAAUAUUUCACCAGUAGCUUUGCACCAGUGAACUGCGGCAGCAAUUUCUGAGUGACAUCGACACGCCGGGGUGCCACAACUUGCCAGAGCUUUUUCUGUGGUACGCUCUGAAAUAGAGGGUCUGCGGCAGGCAGGGGCUGGCCGUGCUGAGCCUGGGCUCACCACAGCAUCCUGUGGAGCAGGAGGCUGAGAGGAGACGUGGGGGUUGCCUCCUACUUCUUGAAAGCCCACGGAGGCUGCAGCCGCUGGGGUACAAGUUAGGGCAGACUGGAGAGUUGCCCAAAUACACCACAGGGGUGACAUUGCUCCCUGGGUAACGUGGGACAGCGAGGGACAACAUUUGUGACGGGAAGAGGCAGCGUCCCCACCUGCGCCAGUAAGAAAGGCAGGCUCCAGGCAUGUGGCUGUCACAGGGCAUUAGUCACGUCCUGAGCCACAGGAAAGCUGUGGAGAAGAGCAAACCUCACAUCCUCCAGCUUACAGGCUCCUUUCACAGCCAAUGUUUUUCUUCCCUGCAGAACAGAAAAUUACAGAAAACUGAGCCCCCCCGUGCUGCUGGUUGCUCUUUGUGCAGUAAAUGGUUGAGUACACCCCACAAUACACCGGCAGCUACUGGCAGCAUCGUAUCUCAAAGCCCAGGAACAGCACCCGCACACAGCCUGGGGAUCAGCACUCCCUCGUGGGAUACAAGUCACCUUCUGCACAUUAAAUAUUGAUAUAGCUGUCACGCCUAGAGGCCCCAUCAGGAUUAAGGUCCACAGCGCUCGGUGCUCUGAACGCCCGCGAUAAGGGCCGGUCCCUGCCCCGAAAGAAUGCAGCCCCAGCGCGGCCGUGCCGGUGGCCCUGGGGAGGUUGUUUGCCUGGGCUGUCCCGCCGUGCCCACUUCACAAAGCUCCUGUUUGCUCACACACCAGGCGUGUUAUCGGCAGUGCCGGAGGGCGGAGGGCUCUGCCUCGGUGCCAGGCCCUGGCUCCUGCUGGUUUUUGCAGCCCCUCUGCUGGGAGCGACCGCCCGGUGUGAGGCACGCUGCCCUGCCACUGGGCAGACUGGGAAGGAGUCGAGCCACAAAACCAAAACCAACCCAAACAGCCCAGGGGGAGCUUUCUGCAUCGAAAAGCAGCUCUUCUCCUGAAACAACCAUUACAAGAAGGGGAUUUCAGGUAGUCAGAAGCACAGCCCGUGGCCGUGGGAGGUCCGCAUUCAAUUCCUGUUCCUCAGACAUCCUGGGCCACUGACUCAGCCCCUGCCUUGUGCAACCCGCCAGCUAUCAAACCCUGCAGCUUCUCACAGGGGUGCUGCAGGCAUUAAUAAGUCAGGGAGGUGACACCGUGUCGGGCUGGUGGCCUGUAGCAGGUGGUGAGACAGGGCUGCUUGCUCAGUGCUGGCCUUUGUGGCAGCCAUGGCCUCCACAGCAUGGGGCAGGAAGCAGGGCCCAUGCCUGGACGUGACCAAGCCCGGCACCGAGGGCAGCAGCUCCUGGUCAGAGCACACCAUCCAGGCAGCCUGCCCGGGUGAGCAUGAGUCCAUUCACUAGAAAUUGACUUCAUAUCAGGGAGCUGACGUGAGCCUGCAGGGCUCCUGGCCUCCUGGUCCCCAGCACGGAGCCUGUAUGGAGGAGCCGCUCACUGCAGGCCAGGCCACGGAGGAAUAAAUCGAGGCCAGUACCUGCUGCUCCGGCUGCAUUUGUGCCUCUCGACUCCCUGUCGCUGCUGCCUGUGACCUGGUUCUUCACACGCACAUUCCUCUACAUCGCCACGCUGCAGUGAGAACAGCGCGCAGGCAUUUGUGCCAGCACAUUCGCUGGGAUUUCAUUAGCCUCCAGGGAUCUGCUCAUGAGAAAUGAAUGUAGGUCUCGCAUCAUCUGCUCACUGGCUGCUGCCUCGCUCUCUGUUCAUUUCCAGCAGCCCACGACUCGCCUGGGCUGACCUGCUGGCAGGGCUUUGCCAGGUCACCCCCGCGACAGCAGCACUCGUGGGGUGCCUUGGAGAGCGCUUCUGAGGGUCACAGGGCUGCCCCAAACAGCUGCUGAACCCCGGGAGGUGGCUUCAUCCUGUGAGAUAAAGCACAGCUUUCUGCCCCCUGGUCCUGGAACUGGCUGCCACAGUGCUGCUGGGCCAUGUCUGUGCGAGCUGUGGUUUUGGAGGGGGUGUGAGGAGCCGUGCGGGCUGGCACAGCGCUCCCCAAGCCUUGCCCCACAGGGGCAAUGAGCCCGGCCACACCACGGCCCUGCUCCCCGCCUCCCCCUGCACGGCGAGGUGCCUGGAGCUGCCUCCUGGUUUAUUUUAAGGAUGGCAAUGACUAACGUUUAGGUAUCGCCUUUCAGAACUCUUAAAAAUAGAUGUUAAAAAAUUGCUUCGCGUAAGCCUGCCCACGUAAUGCCUUCCUGGCUGAGAGGAAGGGACCGGCCGCAGCAGCAACAGGACAUGAGUGUUGGGGACUUAGCUUUGAUCCGGAGAGGCCUAAUUGCAAGUUAUUUAUACAGAGCCCUUUUCCUUCUCAGACUGCACAGGAUCAGCAGACCGAUUCCCAUUUCACAGCAAAGCAGGCAGGUCGCUCACGGCCUGGCAGCGCUGGAAGGGGACCCAGACCUCUGGAUGCUUCAGUAGCUUUCAGCCUACCCCAUUGCAGCUUCCUUGCCUUGUAAUAAACGUGUGAUCAGCAAAAGGUAACUAUAUCAAGGCCCCAAAGGCAGUUAGUCAUAGAGGAAUCAUCGUUUAUGUUUUCAAUCAUUUCAAGCUCCCUGCAGAACUCUGCCUUCUGCCAGUUCUUCUUUACGGGGAUGAGAAAGCAGCCCCCUCCCUGCGUGCUCGCACACCAGCGCUUCCCAGCUGCGUGCAUCAUUGGUGAAUCAAACAGAGACAAAAUUGCUCGCUCGUUUCCAGUUAAGCCUGGCGUGUUAUAUGGCAUUACAUAACAUGACAAGAAACCAAUGCAGCUAAUCUGGCGUGUCACUGCUGCGAAGGGAAAUUAAAACAAAUACAGAUCUGUGAAAGAAAGCCCAUUUUUGGCAACAGGCAAGGGUUUCCUGUCUGACUGCUAGCUCCAAAGUGCAAAUCAUCUAUUUUAUGGUAGCAAAGGGAAAUCUCAGCAAUCCAUGCCACAGCGUUAAAAUACAGGAGUCUAAAAAUAGCAUUGAAAAAGCUGGGCUGGAAAUGACAAUAAAAACAAAAAAAGAAAAACUUCCCUUUUUCUUCGCUUGAUUUUUUGGAAAUAAGGAAGUUAAGUUCAACCCCACGAAGUAGGUGUAAAAUGGCAGAGCCUGGAAGCCACGGCUAGGACAGCAGAGGGGCCGGGCAGCCUGUGGGGGUCAGCUGCGGGAGCCCGCUCCCUCCGUGGGAUGGUUUGUGCCGGAGUCCUGCCCCUGGAAGAAGGCGAUGUAAACUAGGCUGGGCACCACCGGCCUGGGAAGUGCAGGCAGGCAGGGAGAGGACUGAUGGACCGGCGACAGCCUGAGAUUAAAGAGGACACCGCCAAUCCCUUCUUCCCUGGGCAUUCUCAUGGCUCUCCCUGUCCUCCCACCCAGUCCCUGGGGCCUGGCUGUCCCCUUCCUCUGCUCACCCAGAUAUAUUUGGAGGCUUCGCUGCCUGCCACCGCUCUGGGCAACCCUGAACUCAGCCCUGAGCCCGCCUGCCCCAGCUGGCACGCCAGCUACAGCUUCUCCUGCAAACUAGAGAAAAAAAUGCAAGUGAGCCCCAGCCAGGGCACGGCACGAUUUAACGUAACAGAAUUUCAAAAGCAAAGUGGUGAAAUGCGAGCGGUGCUCUCAUAGCAGUGCUCGGCCUGCGUGUCGGCUGGGGGAAGAACAAUGAAUGAUGUCUGCCCUGCCGCGAGCCCAGAGCAGCGAGACCUGUCUGGUGCAGAGCAGAGAUGCAGACAGAGAUAAGUGGAUGCUCAGGGUGAGCAGUCAGGAGAAAAAAAUGGCAAUUCAGAGAUAUGUAAUCACGGCAGCACGGCUUUUAGAGUUCAGCUUUCUGUUCAUGUGCCUCAUUGGAGCAGCAUAAAUCCUCAUACAGAAACGUUUGAAAGGGCAAAUAAUCAAUUUAAGAAUGGAAAAUAUUCCAUGGAGAAGCAGACAAGAACAGAAAUGCUUUUGAAGCUGACUGCAGGGAAGGAAAGAGAGCAUCCGGGCAGUCCUGAGACUUUCCAGGCCCUCGAAAGCUCCCCAUGAAUGCAGCUUGCUUUCAUUUGAUAGAGAUAAUGAGCUGAGCUUGGGGGGGCUGCUCACUGCCCCUCGUGCUCCGGCAGUCGCCUCUCCGUCGGUCGGGCUGUGAGGGGCGAGGAAUUGCCACGGGACAGGGGCUGUGCUGGGGAGGAUGCAGGGCAUGCUGCAGGAAACCAGCUGGAUGAAAUUCCUGCUGCUGCUCAGGGACAUCUCCCUAUUCAAAACCUGCGUUUCUUCACGAUUUUCAACUUUUUCUCUUUAAAAAUGAGGCUGAUUUCCCAUCGCUGGCCUUGCAGGGACGCGAUUGCAGAGCCAAGCCGAGGAAUUUGUGGGCGCUGCUGGUGCUUACAUAGGACAGCCUGCUUUAAAUAAUUACAUGGCUUUAAAUGUCUGCCUCCAUGGUGUGUAUGGUAAGAGAGGGAUGAGAAAGAGCUUUGUUGCUGAACCUGCCUUCCUCUUGCAAUGGCAUCGCUCAAACCCAUGGGGAGAAGAAGAAACAAGGAAGAAUCUUUCCUUGCUGAGGGCUCUUCACAUGCCAUUGGGAGACCACACAUGAAACACAUCCAGCGUUAUCCCACCAUAACGUGGGAAAAAUCAAGCAUCCUUAGGCCAGAGGAAUGAUGUCAGAGGCUGCAGGUUUCUCAUAGUUGUCUUAAAUACACAGUGUCCUUGAAAAUACCAGCUCAGUUGGCUCCGGGCUGGGGGCUCGCAGCGUUAUCCCUGGAGAUGGGCAGUCCUCGCACCGCUGCUGUCCCCAGGAGAUCCUGGGGGUGCUCUCCUAUGCGUGACUCCCUUUGCAACCCCCUCUUCUUUGGCAGGUCGAGAAAGCAAAGUUUAUGUGAAUUUCGAGUGUUUUUCCCUUGGAAACUGUUUCUCAGGGAAUUACACUGUGUGAGUGGAAGAGGUCAGGAGCAGGCGGUGGGAUAUUUGUACAGCUGGCUGAUCACAUUGCCUUUGUAUAGUUUUUCCAGAGGUCUAGUUAUAAAUGGUCCCACCAAUUCAUUCUCAAACCUGACUCGUUAAAAAUCAUUAAGUAAGCACUUUGGUAUGGCAACAGCCAGGAUUGCUUUUCCAUAUUUGUUAGCAUUCUUGCUAAUCCAUAAAAUUUAGCAACUCGGAAUGAAAACCACAGUCAGAAAGAGCUAACGAGGUCCUCCUGUAAGGGUCUGUUCUGCUCUGGGCUGGUGUAUACAACUCCCAUUAACGUUAAUUGGCCUUGCAGAGGCACAGCAAAAGGAAAAUGCACCCUAGAAGACCAAAUUAUUAUUUUUUUCUUUCUUUCUUUCUCGAGGGGUAAUGCUCCCCUGCUUGGCAGCUGGGAUUUGCUGAGAGCUUUGUUUAAUACAACGGCAACAUCUCUUUUUGCUUUCCCUCCCUUCUGAAAGCCACGAGACACUUUCAGACACAAGGAUCACCAAAGCAGUUCAGGCACGUUACUUAUGCCAUAACAGCACGCGAUUUAAUGCAAAAAGAGAAGCAAAACCCCAGGCCACUACUGGCACCCCGUAUCAGGAGAGCACCUAGCAUCUGCUUAACUCUAAGCGUGCAUUUGAGCUGUGUGGAAAGCGAUAGGAUUUAAACACAUUUCUGGCUUGGACCUCCAUGAGGGCUGGUGAAAUCACCAAAAAGUCCCAGCUGGUGAUGUGAGAUGCUGGCACUAGGAGUUGUGCUGCCUGCACUGGCUGGUUUGCAUAGGGCCAGACCGGCUGCGGGGCAGGGCUGCGGGGAGAGGAGAGGAGAGAGCCGGCAGAAGCCAUCGGGGGCUCCUCGGGGACACGGCAGCCCUGUGCCACCGGUGGCUAAUCUGUGCAAUCUGCCUCUGUCACCAGGCUAAUCCCCCCGGCUCACACUCCCACCGAGUCUGUUCCUCCUGCCGCUCGCCCCCGGCUGGGCUCUAAGCCUCUUAGGUCAGAGAUCAUCUCGCAGCUCGCACGCUGCCAUCCGCUGCGGGAUCCCCGUCCUCUGCUGAUCCACCACACCACUCGUUUCCAUCGCUGCUCCUUCCCAAGGCAACCUCCGCACUCUUUGGCAUCUUAUUCUUCAAGAACGACCGCUGCCGUGCUGUUAUCGCAGCCCCUCAUCCCCAGCACCACAGCAAGCGUGCCCUCGUGCUACGCAAGGCUUGUGGCUCCCCUGGCGUGGAGCUCUCAGUAAUUGUUGGUGUGUGUGCAUUAUAGGGGCUAACGGCCUCCAGAACGUGGUAAAAAAAACGUAGGCUCCUAUAAACACUUCUGCGGUUUUAUUGAACAUUUCUGAAAUCUGCUUCACAUGCUUAAUGCCCUGCGUAUGGGGACGGCAGCAGGGAGGGAGCGAGCACCCGCAGCAUCUCCGGCAGCUGCAGCCUUCUGACUUCAGCAGAUCGCAGCUGAAGAUUAUCUGGAAAAGACAUCAGGCAGCGCAUCGGCCUCACCGCUAUCAGGGCGAGAACUACAGCCAUUUAGUCUGACGAAGCAAACCCUGAGUUCAUGGGAAAUAAACAGGAAUCGGUCUCCAUAGCGGUAUUUACUGCAAAAUUUCCGUACCAAGGCCUUUGCACAGCCUGGCACAACAGGCGUGCUGUAAGGGCAUUUUCAAUAAAAUCCUGUCCCGGUGGGCAGCCCUGUGAACCCCUGCACAAACCUGAGCUGCGGGAGAUUUCUCUCAUGGAGGUCCCGGUUCUUGUACAUCUGUGCGUGAUUUGUCUUGGCGUGCAAAACAAAAGAAAUCCUGUGCAUUAUUGAAAUAUCAGUGCACUCAAACACCCAGCCUGACUUUUUCCAUGAAGAAAAGAGCAUAAAAUGCCUUACAACCUGAUCCGCAACAUUAUCACAGCCCUUUAAAUUCUUACCCUGCAUCCCAGCUCGGAGAGAAACUCAUGGAAAAACUGCAUCUUUUGGAAAAAAAAAAAAAAAAAAGGAAAAAAAAAAAAAAGGAAAAAAAAAAAAGAAA